GGAGGAAUGGCCGAGUGGUUGAAGGCGGCGGUCUUGAAAACCGCUAGGGCGCAAGUCCUCGGGGGUUCGAAUCCCUCUUCCUCCG
rnacentral:tRNA from 1 species